CUUUGGAGAAGAAUGGGGAAGGGCAGUCUGAAGCAGAAGGGUUUGACUGCUGUGGCUACAAGCUGGCUGAACGUCUCUGUCCUGUGGGGUCUCCUCUCUGUCUCGCCAAGGAAGCCAAACUCAUUGCACUGAGGAGCAGUUCAAGAGGAAUACUCAGAGCAAGCCUUGGAAGCUCCAUUCAAAGUAAAGGAAAAGAAGCUGAAGAAAAGAACAUUUCAACCUUGCACCCUAAGGCUCUCAUUGGCAUGCACAAAAUGACUCAACCAAAGAUGACUGUGAGAAGAGGAAAUGCUGCAAAGUUCCUCUUGGAGGAAGCAGAGGCAGGAGGUGCAGCUGCCUCCUCUUCUCUCCUUCCUGAUGCCUGCAAAUCUCUGCUUAUCGCUGCUCUUCACGCUGCGUUUCGUCUGCCUCUUUGUGUUCCUCCCUGUGACCGGCUCCUUGGCUGCAUCUGGCGGUUUGCUGUUUCCUGGAUGUUGUGACAGACUUCAGCGUGAACUACUUUGCUUGGGUUAGCAUCUGUGACCUUUUGCCCUGUUUUGUUUUUCUGGCUGAUUUGAUUUUACACGUGUUUACACCCAGGGCCAGUUUUGCAAGCUCAAGUGGUCAAUGUGGCUGUGCAAUUGCUGUGUGAGGCACUAAGAAUUAAGACAAUUACUUAUUUAUCAAA